AAUUAUUUCACGCGUUCUAUCUACAUGUAAACUAUGAAUAUGCUACUUUAAUAUAUAGAUCCUCUCUGUAUUCUGUCUACUGUUUUCUUUGAAAUGUCAGGAGCCUCUGGCCUUUGUUAGUCUUGUAUUAUUUUUACUUUUAGUUUCUUGUGUACAAUUUGGAGUUUAGUAUGGUGUUCAUUAUCACUGAACCAGUAUAUAUUUGUUUAGGGGCCAGCUGAGAGACGCCUCCGGGUGCGAGAAUGUCUCGUUGCAUUGAAGACCUGUUGGUGACCUUCUGCUGUUGUCUGCUCUAUGGUCGGGUUGUUGUCUCUUUGGCACAUUCCCCAUUUCCAUUCUCAAUUUUAUUA
rnacentral:lncRNA from 1 species